rnacentral:rRNA from 1 species
UACGGGGGGAGCAAGCGUUGUUCGGAUUUACUGGGCGUAAAGGGCGCGUAGGCGGUCAGCACAAGUCAGUUGUGAAAUCUCCGGGCUUAACUCGGAAAGGUCAACUGAUACUGUGCGACUAGAGUGCGGAAGGGGCAACUGGAAUUCUCGGUGUAGCGGUGAAAUGCGUAGAUAUCGAGAGGAACACCUGCGGCGAAGGCGGGUCGCUGGGCCGACACUGACGCUGAGGAGCGAAAGCGUGGGGAGCGAACAGG